rnacentral:rRNA from 1 species
CAGUCGCCGCGGGAACACGGAGGGUGCAAGCGUUAAUCGGAAUUACUGGGCGUAAAGCGCACGCAGGCGGUUGUUUAAGUCUGUUGUGAAAUCCCCGGGCUCAACCUGGGAAUGGCAAUGGAUACUGGCAAGCUAGAGUGUGUCAGAGGAUGGUGGAAUUCCCGGUGUAGCGGUGAAAUGCGUAGAGAUCGGGAGGAACAUCAGUGGCGAAGGCGGCCAUCUGGGACAACACUGACGCUGAGGCACGAAAGCGUGGGGAGCAAACAGGAUUAGAUACCCGCGUAGUCCCUGUCUCUUAUAC